AGACGCUUCCCUGCCCUCUCGCCUCAACCACCUCGAGGCAGCGGCUCCCAGGAUGUGCACUUUGACGACUAAAGCUGAGCCGGCGCCGCCACGACCUUGGGCGGGUGGUCGGCCUCUGCCCUGAGCAGGAAGUAGAAAGUCUCAGCAGACCCUUCCUGAGGGCCGAGCAACAGUGUAGUGGCGUAUUCCACAUAGCAAACAGGCAGCAUUUCUUCCUGUGACAAUAUGGUGUAAGACAAAAUUGUGGCCUGCCAUGAAGUUGUGAGAGAAAAGCAUCCCUCAUUUCUUCAGGAAAGGCCACUGCCGUUCCCUCCGGCUCCUCUUCUCAGGAGUUUGUGCAUUCAUGAGGUGAAUUCCUUGGAAGAUGAGGGCCAAGUCUUAUUCUUCUCAGUCUCUUCUGCAUCUAGCAGAAGAAUAAUGGUUGCACAGAAAAUCUUGGUUCAGUGGUUGAGUGAAUGAAUGGAUGAACAGGCUCUUGCACACAAAGAAGAGACAUGAUGUAUUUGCAUCCUUCCCUGCUUCAGCCAGUUUUCUGAAGCUCAGAGGGACACCUUGUAUUGCUGGAUGAUAAAAACAGGAGCAAAGUGAUGAAGUGCUGACAAGGCAACAAUAGAACAUGAGAGAUUCACUGCUGUGUAGGAAGAGAUCUUCGGUGACCAUGUAGCCUGAAGCUCUCAUUUUGUCAUCGAGGGACACCAAAACUCAGAACAGAUAGAGUCUUGCUCUGUGACCCAGGCUUGUGUGCAGCGGUACGAUAUUGGCUCACUGCGACCUCCACCUCCCAGGUUCAAGCAAUUCUCCUGCCUCAG
rnacentral:lncRNA from 1 species